rnacentral:lncRNA from 1 species
GGGCCUCCUCGUCUCCGCGGAGCCCCGUCAAAGCGCUCCCGCCCGGGCUCCCCGCGGAAGCGACGCCCGGACGCCAGGGCCUCGCGGGCCAGGGCGGCAAAAACCGCCCUCCGCCGGCGGAGCGCCCGACGCGGCGCGCGUUGGACCGGCCGCUCCCGCCCAGGAGGGACGAGGCCUGGCCUGGACAGCCCCGCGGGGCACGGGGCUCAGGGGGACCGCUUUGGAGGGGAUGGCCGCGCCCUCUCUACCGCUUGCCUCAGGUGCAUCGCUGUGCAACAGGCAGGCACUUCCCGCCACAUUCGCCUACUCCACGCUGAGGCGGCAUUGCCCCGCCUGACCCGGAAGUCUGCGGCCUCCCCAUUGGCUCAGGAAGAGCAGGAGUUGGGGGGCAAGCGAGUGGGCGAAACUGGGUUACAACUGUUCUUGGAAAAAUUACCCUGGAGAGAAAACUGGAAACUGGAUGAAAAGAACCCCCACAAUAAGGGACAGUCCUGACUGAGGCGGAAGAGGCAGAAAUUCCUUCUGGAGAGAAAAAGCCACCUUCACAAACCACAGACCUUCACAGCCAGUAGGGCAGGAGCCACCCUAAGGUACACAGCCCUCCCUGGAGAAGUGGGGACCUGAGCAGGGGCCCGUUACUGCCAUAAGCAUGCUUCAGACUCAGCACAACUGAGAUGAGUGCCCUACUAUUUGGCUUGGCUGUCUAUUAACUGCAAUGGGGCAAUACCCCCAGAAAAGCUAUCAGAUGAAAGCAGGAAAACACAGGGUCUUAAAGGGCCCAGGCACAAAUUCAGCCAUAUCAGAGAGAAACCUAAAAUCACCAAAAAGAAAGCUGCACAGUCCUUUGGUGAAAAGAGACUCACCUGGUAGGCUCUGGGUGUGUCUCUGUGAGAGGUGAGACGUCUCCAGAGACAGACAUUGGUGGUGGCCAUUCUUGUGACCUAGUACAGGCAUGCUGACAGGUGCUGGCAGACAGCAUUGAAGUUCUUCCCCUGCCCGACAGCCCGGGGGUCGGCCAAACCAA